CACGUAGGGGGCAAGCGUUGUCCGGAAUUAUUGGGCGUAAAGCGCGCGCAGGUGGUUUCUUAAGUCUGAUGUGAAAGCCCCUGGCUCAACUGGGGAGGGUCACGCGAUACUGUUCGACUCGAAGGCAGGAGAGGGAAGUGGAAUUCCCGGUGUAGUGGUGAAAUGCGUAGAUAUCGGGAGGAACACCAGUGGCGAAGGCGACUUCCUGGCCUGUUCUUGACGCUGAGGCGCGAAAGCUAGGGUAGCAAACGGG
rnacentral:rRNA from 1 species